AGCGAACGCUGGCGGCAGGCCUAACACAUGCAAGUCGAACGAAGUCUUCGGACUUAGUGGCGGACGGGUGAGUAACACGUGGGAACGUGCCUUUAGGUUCGGAAUAACUCAGGGAAACUUGUGCUAAUACCGAAUGUGCCCUUCGGGGGAAAGAUUUAUCGCCUUUAGAGCGGCCCGCGUCUGAUUAGCUAGUUGGUGAGGUAAAGGCUCACCAAGGCGACGAUCAGUAGCUGGUCUGAGAGGAUGAUCAGCCACAUUGGGACUGAGACACGGGCCAAAGUCCUACGGGAGGCAGCAGUGGGGAAUCUUGCGCAAUGGGCGAAAGGCUGACGCAGCCAUGCCGCGUGAAUGAUGAAGGUCUUAGGAUUGUAAAAUUCUUUCACCGGGGACGAUAAUGACGGUACCCGGAGAAGAAGCCCCGGCUAACUUCGUGCCAGCCGCCGCAGUAACAC
rnacentral:rRNA from 1 species